CUUUGGGAGACCCCGAGUUGGCUUUUGGACACACUGUGUUUGAGAUCCUGAUGCACCUUGGACCCUGCAGGUGCCGCCUUCCAGCCUCCAAGAUGCCUUGAAAAUGACACUCCAGGCAGCGCGUGAUUGACAAGACCAUCCGGAGAACCACGAGCUGCGGCCUCUCAUGGAGAGCUUCAGUCGGGAGGAAAGAGCCCGGGGCAUUGGGGGGCCAGCCCUUCCCUGGCUGCAGUGCUGUUCAUGCCGUCCCCGAGCGGGGAGGACCCUCCUUGAGCUGAAGACAUAAGUCAUCUUGGCUUUCUCCAGGACUCACACACCUCUCGGAGGAGAAGGAAGAUGGAAAGAGAGGAGAGCGUGAAUUAGCAUUCACACCUGUUGAAAAUAAAUUAUUGUGGUAAAAUAUACA
rnacentral:lncRNA from 1 species